GAUGAACGCUGGCGGCGUGCCUAAUACAUGCAAGUCGAGCGAACAGACGAGGAGCUUGCUCCUCUGACGUUAGCGGCGGACGGGUGAGUAACACGUGGAUAACCUACCUAUAAGACUGGGAUAACUUCGGGAAACCGGAGCUAAUACCGGAUAAUAUAUUGAACCGCAUGGUUCAAUAGUGAAAGACGGUUUUGCUGUCACUUAUAGAUGGAUCCGCGCCGCAUUAGCUAGUUGGUAAGGUAACGGCUUACCAAGGCAACGAUGCGUAGCCGACCUGAGAGGGUGAUCGGCCACACUGGAACUGAGACACGGUCCAGACUCCUACGGGAGGCAGCAGUAGGGAAUCUUCCGCAAUGGGCGAAAGCCUGACGGAGCAACGCGGCGGGAGUGAUGAAGGUCUUCGGAUCGUAAAACUCUGUUAUUAGGGAAGAACAAAUGUGUAAGUAACUAUGCACGUCUGGACGGUACCUAAUCAGAAAGCAACGGCUAACUACGU
rnacentral:rRNA from 1 species